UACACGUGGCUCCUGCCUGUUCAGCUGCUGGGCUCGCCUUGGCACUUGCUUCCCAGGACUCAGGGUGAAGUUCUUGCCUAGGGGAACCUGGUUUCUUCAGGAACCACCCCAAAGCGAGGGGAAGGCGAGGACAACUCCCUGCAGGUGGCUGACUGCAGAGCGGUGCGGCGGGCUGUGCUACCCAUGCUGUCUCUUGACAAGGUCUGGGCAUUGGGGGAGACUCCCGAGAAGAGGGGAGUUCCUGCACUUCCCAGAAGACCUGAACUAGGGAGUCUCCAUGGCAACGCCUGCUAAUGCUCUCCUGUCUGUUCUUGGUUAAUGCAGAAUGCGAAGGUGGCAUCAACAUCUUGAAGCAGACGGAUGGAGAGACGGAAUGAAGUGUUGGCGGGGGUGAGGUGAACUAUGUGCUGUAUUUCAUUCCUGAGGAGAGGACACCUGCUCCACCCUUCUGCAGAGAACUGUGAGCUUAGACUAUUUCUGCUGCCUGUUCUAGUAAUUGUCUAUUUUUGGGAAACGACCUAAGGAAAUGCUGGAAACACUGAUACAAUCUACGUAUAAAACUGCUGACCAACA